rnacentral:rRNA from 1 species
UGGGGAAUAUUGGACAAUGGGCGCAAGCCUGAUCCAGCGACGCCGCGUGUGUGAAGAAGGCCUGCGGGUUGUAAAGCACUUUCGAUGGGAACGAAAUGUGCCGGGUUAAUACCCCGGUAAGCUGACGUUACUCAAUGAAGAAGCACCGGCUAACUCUGUGCCAGCAGCCGCGGUAAUACAGAGGGUGCGAGCGUUAAUCGGAAUUACUGGGCGUAAAGCGCACGUAGGUGGCGACGUAAGUCGGGUGUGAAAGCCCCGGGCUCAACCUGGGAAUUGCAUUCGAGACUGCAUUGCUGGAGUACGGAAGAGGAGGGCGGAAUUCCCGGUGUAGCGGUGAAAUGCGUAGAUAUCGGGAAGAACACCGGUGGCGAAGGCGGCCCACUGGAUCGGUACUGACGCUGAGGUGCGAAAGCGUGGGGAUCAAACAGGAUUAGAUACCCUAGUAGUCCCUGAGCGGGCUGGCAAGGCGCAU